UAACCAAAGAAGGGAAGUGAAAGAAGGAAAUCCCCAAAUCUGUUUUAAGGCACUGUCGAACCCCUAGCCCCAAAUCAAGAAUAUCAAAUACCCGACCACAAUUGAUCGCUCGCUGAGCCAAACCUAAGAGUGAAGAGGUAGCACCCAUUUCGUUUAAUUACAUUGAUGACGGAGCCAUUGGUGUGUAGAUGGAAGGAAAACAUGAAGGUAAAUCCCAAAUUGAUAUUUAUUUAUUUUUGGUAGGUAGAGGUGAUAGAGCUGCUAAAGAUUAUGUAGAUAAAUAUAAUUUUCCAUUAUCUAAAGUUUUUGUAGUUGAUUGCAUGAGUAUUUUCUUAUUCUCCAUUUUACCAAAUAUGUAUUGGUAAUGGCCACGGUCUGUCGAUCCCCUUAUUUUCUGUUCUUUAUGUCCUGAAUCGUAUGUUUUGUUUUAGUUCAUUACAUACCAUUGUCCUGUUCACCUUGGCUACACUCUGUUGUUCCAUUUUGUAAUCUGAUUAUCUGUAUUGUCUUCCACUGUUAUUUUCGAGUUUAGGCAAAAUUCAUUAAAUGAAGUCCUUGCCAAUGUAGUAAAGUGAUAAUAUCGACUAAAGUGUUAAAACAUAUAUGCACUACACAAUGUUGAAUCUUCAUCCUCAUAUAUUAGCUCAAUGUUGGUGUAAAGUCUGAUCAUUUGCAUGUAAUAUUGUUUAAUGUGGGUAACUAUAUCCUAGAUUGUGAAGAAGAUACGGAAUUCAUAGUUUCCGACCACGACUUUGAGUCCAAACAAGAUGACAUUGAAUAUGAUAGACAUGUAACUGAUGCGAUGGAAAUUGGAAUGGACAAUCGCUAAGAUGAAGUUCAGGUCUAACGAGAAGAGGGCAGUGAUAAUGAGUUGAAUGAAUUGGAACUACCAUCAUCAAGGGAACUACUGUCCCAAUGUUUAUCCGAUGAGGAUGGCAGCUGUCAUUUUCCUGAAUUCUCUAUUGAUCAAGAUAUGAAAAAUCCACAAUUGAGGUAGGGUAAAUAUCCGAUUCUGUUGCGGAGUUUCGUGAAGCGAUGCGAACAUACAGUGCAUUUAACGGGUACAACUUAAAGUUUAAGGCAAAUGAGGAAAGAUGAGUUCAAGGAAUUUGGAAAUUGGGCUACAAAUGGAGAAUAUGAGCUUCUAAAUUUGAUGUGUCCGAUAGGUUGCAAGUCAAAUCUUACACUUUGGAGCAUACUUUGUAGUUGAGAUUAGUUUAAUAGACAUUGCAAUUACAUAUUUUUGACACAUUGGUAUAUUGAGCAAUUUAAGACAAACCCGAAUUGGAAGAUCGAGCUUAUUUUGGCAACAGUGAAGAAGGAUCACCAAAUAGACAUUAGCAAGAAACGUAGCAUGAAAAAUGCGGAGAUACGCCAAAGAAGUUUUAGUAGAAAAUUUGCACGAACUGUUUAGGCAAUUGCAGUCUUAUGCAGCCGAGGUACUAAGUAUAAAUGUUGGCUCGACAGUCAUAAUUGCAUUACAGGAGCAUAUAUUUCAGGAGAUCUACACAUGCUUCAAUUGUUGUAAGAUAGGAUUGAGGGAUGGUUGUAGGAAGGUGUUAUGUAUUGAAGGUUGCCACUAAGGGGUGGUUUCACAAGGAUAAUGUUAACUGAAUUGGGGUUGAUGCUAAUGAUUGCAUCUAUCCCAUUGCAACUGCAGUUGUUUAGAAAGAAAAUACAGUUGCUUGGCGAUGGUUCUUAGCCUAUCUUUCAUAUGAUAUUAGGAUAGGAAAUUGGAGAGGUUGGACUCUUAUGACCGACAGGCAGAAGGGUCUACAAAAUGUCAUGGAUGAGUUGUCCCCUGAGGCUGAGCACAGGUUCUGUGUAAGGCAUAUGUAUACAAUUUUUUUCCGUCUAGGUUCAAGAGUAAAAUUCUGAAGAAUUACUUGUUGCGUGCUACAAAGUCAACCACCAUUGCUGACUACUGAAAUUGGAUGAAACAAAUUCGAUAACUUAGUGAGGAGGCAAACAAAUGGCUUAUGGAGAGCUAUUUACAAGAGUGGAGUAGAUCACAUUUCUCAGUUCAAUUGAAGAGUGACAUUUUCCUAAACAAUUUAUGCGAAGAUUUCAACAAGACUCUGUGGAUUGAUAGAGAAAAGAUGAUUUUGUUGAUGCUAACUUCACAACAUUUAACCUUCAUGAAUAGGAUUCGAAGGCAUCGAGACAUGAUGAGGUGCACGAACAAUUGUGUCCAAAGAUCAGGAAAAAAAUUACACAAAAUAGCAGAAAAAUUGCAUGAAUGCACAUUGCACAUUUUUGGUUAUCCAAAAUGACAAGUUGACUGCAGCUAUGGGACGUAUGUCGUCGACCUACAAGAAAGAACAUUUGCAUGUAGAGAAUGGAAGCUUACAUGCAUAUAUUGGAUCAUGCAAUGGCAGUAAUUGGGGAAUACAAAAAUGAUCCAAAAGAAUUCAUUGACAAUUGUUACACGAUUGAUAUGUAUAUAAGGUGCUACAAUAGUACCAUGAAUCCAAUUAAUGGUAACGGUAUGCGGUUAUAGGCAUGGUUGCAUAUGCUUGAUAUCAUUCUAUCAUCGUCGAUUGUGCCACGAACGGGACAGAGACGGAUAAAUUGGAGAAAAGGAACAGAUGAAGAUGUGAUCGUGCAUUCACAAGAGAUAACCUUAUUCGGAGAAAGGGACGAUUGAGAGUGACAUGCUCCUUAUGCGAAGAGCAGGGUCACAACAAGCAAUACCACUCUAGGCCAGAUACACCUGAUUUUGUGAGUUUGAUUUUACUUUUUAUAAAGUAUAAUUGUCUUCACAAUUUUACUAAAAUUUGAUUGUCCUGCAAAAUGCGAUGAAGCUGAAAUAAAUGUAUUCUGAUGGUUUAUUUUUUGUAUGGUAGGAUUUAUUUGAAGAACAUCUAGAAUCAGUUAGCACACACUGUGACACACACAUUUUGACAUAGCUGUCGACUAAUGGGUUAGUAAACUUCUCUUUUUAUUAUUUUAAGUCGUGCUCCUGAUAUUUGUUGCAUAAUGUUAGCUAUCUAAUUGUGUAAUGUACGCAGUAUAUAGAGCAGACUAGUGGCAUAUAGGAGAUUACGAGCAUCGACAAAGCAUAAUCCCACAAAAGAACAAACUCACCAUUUCAUUCCAACCCCCAUUGUAAUACUUGAAGCUUGGUCAUAAGGUCUCAAAUUUGGUCCAAUAGCAACGAUAUGUUCUCAGUCAAUUCUUGUUGAUGUUCCAACCGAUGUUGUAAACUUUGAUGAGUCGUGGACGACUUGCAUGAAUCUGCCAAUAUGAGAUCGAGAAUGGCUAAAAAAUGACAAUGCGCAAAGCAGUCUACAUAAUCAAUGACACAACCCUUAGUGUGCACCCCAUAGCCACAAUAAAUUAUGCAAAUCUAAUUUCAGCUGUUUUUAGUCUUUGAAAAAAUUAUACAGAUCUAUUUUUUUAGGAAAUUAUGUAGAUCUGGUUUUUUGUUGUGGGUUGACACUGAAAUUAUGCCGAUCCAAUUUUUUUGAGGAAUCUUUCAUGUUUUCCAUUUUUAUCAGUAUUUUUGGAUGUUAUAUUUGUGUCUACAUAUUAAAUUUUUAUGAUCAAUGAUGCUAGGGUUAUAUUUGUGUCUACAAAUCAGAUUUUUAUGAUCAAUGAUGUGCGGGUUAUAUUUGUGUCUAUAUAUCAAAUUUUUACGAUCAAUGAUGUGGGGGUUAUAUUUAUAUCUGCUUAUUACUGUCAUGGUUAUUUUGUGUGACAUCAGGAGUUUUUAUUUUUAUUUUUUAUUGUUUUUGUAUCAUAUGCAUGGGGAUUUGACGUAUGGCUAGAUUUAAUGGUGCCAACUUUCGCAUUCGCACCAUUAAUGUUGGAACAUGUUAUGAAUCUUUAGAAGCAUUGCUCCAUAAGACAUGUUUAUGAGCAUAUGAAGUUUGUCAUGAAUUAGCAAAAGUAGCUUUUGGGCCAUCUUGAACAAUUCGAGCAUGGCUUGCAAUUACAUAAAUUACAG
rnacentral:lncRNA from 1 species